rnacentral:rRNA from 1 species
UACGUAGGGUGCGAGCGUUGUCCGGAAUUAUUGGGCGUAAAGAGCUCGUAGGCGGUGUGUCACGUCGGCCGUGAAAACCUGGGGCUUAACUCUGGGCGUGCGGUCGAUACGGGCAUCACUAGAGUUCGGCAGGGGAGACUGGAAGUUCCUGGUGUAGCGGUGAAAUGCGCAGAUAUCAGGAGGAACACCGGUGGGCGAAGGC